AAAAAAAUUCUAUUUUAAUUAAUUUGCAUAUAAAUAAAUUUUUUAUGAUUUAAAAAAUUUAUUUAAGGUUUAUUUUACAUAUAAAUUUUAGUAUAUUAUUUUAUAUUUAAAUAAUAUUUAAAAUUAUUUAGUAGUAAUUAAUAUUAAAAAUUUAAGGAAUUAAGAUUUAGUAAUAUUAAAAUUAAUAACAAAUUUUGUGCCAGCAGUUGCGGUUAUACAAAAAUUAAUUUAAAUUUUAUUAGUAAUUAAUAAAUAAUAAAAUUAUAAUUUAAAUAUAAAAAUUAGAUUAUUAGGUGAAAUUUUAAUUUAAUAAAAAAUUAUAUAAAUUUAUGAAUUAAUAAAUUUUUAAAAAGACUAGGAUUAGAUACCCUAUUAUUUUAAUUUUAAAUUAAUAAUACUAAAAUAGUAUAUAAUAUUUUAUUGAAACUUAAAUAAUUUGGCGGUAUUUUAGUUCAUUUAGAGGAAUCUGUUUAAUAAUUGAUAAUCCACGAAUAAAUUUACUUAAAUUAUAAUUUUAUAUAUCGUUGUUAGAAAAAUAUUUUUUAAUAAUAAAUAAUAUUUUAAUUUUUUUAAUAUAAAUUAAAUCAGAUCAAGAUGUAGAAUAUAUUUAAGAAUAUAAUGGAUUACAAUAAAUUAAUUUAUAUGAAUAUUAUUUUUUAAUAAAUAAUUGAAGGUGGAUUUAAAUGUAAUUUUAUUUAAUUUAAUAAAAUGAUUUAUAAUUAAAGUAUGUACAUAUUGCCCGUCGCUUUCAUAUAAUAAAUAAUUUUAUUAUUUAAAAUUGAAAUAAGUCGUAACAAAGUAGAGGUACUGGAAAGUGUUUCUAGAAUGAA
rnacentral:ncRNA from 1 species